CAACAAAGAGGCUUGUGGGUCUUUGUUCGCUUUUUUGGAUCGGUCGAGUUUCUUUGUUGGA
ensembl:miRNA